rnacentral:rRNA from 1 species
UACGUAGGGGGCGAGCGUUGUCCGGAAUCAUUGGGCGUAAAGAGCUCGUAGGCGGUUCAGUAAGUCAGGUGUGAAAGCUCCGAGCUCAACUCGGAGAGGCCACCUGAUACUGCUGUGACUAGAAUCCAGUAGGGGAGUGUGGAACUCCUGGUGUAGCGGUGAAAUGCGCAGAUAUCAGGAGGAACACCAAUGGCGAAGGCAGCUCGCUGGGACGUGACUGACGCUGAGACGCGAAAGCGUGGGGAGCAAACAGG